UUUUUUAUAGUAUAAAUAAUAUAUUUUAUUUCCAAUAAAAAGAUUUAAAAGGUAUUUUAAUAAAAAAA
rnacentral:tRNA from 1 species